GACGGAGGAUGCAAGCGUUAUCCGGAAUUAUUGGGCGUAAAGCGUACGUAGGCUGUUUCAUAAGUCUGUUGUCAAAGCCCGAGGCUCAACCUUGGAAAGGCAAUGGAAACUGUGAGACUAGAGAGAGAUAGGGGCAGGAGGAAUUCCAGGUGUAGCGGUGAAAUGCGUAGAUAUCUGGAAGAACACCAGUGGCGAAAGCGUCCUGCUGGAUCUCAACUGACGCUGAAGUACGAAAGCUAGGGGAGCGAAUGGG
rnacentral:rRNA from 1 species